GACGAACGCUGGCGGCGUGCUUAACACAUGCAAGUCGAACGGAAAGGCCUCUUUCGGGGGGUACUCGCGUGGCGAACGGGUGAGUAACACGUGAGUAACCUGCCCUUGACUUUGGGAUAACUUCAGGAAACUGGGGCUAAUACCGGAUAGGAGCUCCUGCUGCGUGGUGGGGGUUGGAAAGUUUCGGCGGUUGGGGAUGGACUCGCGGCUUAUCUGCUUGUUGGUGGGGGAGUGGGUUACCAAGGCGUUGACGGGUAGCCGGCCCGGGAGGGUGACCGGCCCCAUUUGGGAUGGGGUACGGCCCCGAACCCUAAGGGGAGCAGGAGGGGGGAAAAUUGCAAAAUGGGGGGAAGCCUGAAGCAGCAAAGCCGGGGGGGGGAUGACGGGCUUCGGGUUGGAAACCGCUUUCGCUCAUGACGAAGCUUUGUGUGACGGUAGUGGGUAAAGAAGCACCGGCUAACUACGUG
rnacentral:rRNA from 1 species